UCAUGUUGGUGACUGAAAGCCUGUUACGAUGACUUCAACACAUUUCUUCGGACGGGUUGCCACGACUUUUAAUGCUGUCUAGAAUGUUUCUAUAAGCUGACUAAUUUCUAUAAUACCUAAUGAUUAUGUGACACUUAAUGUCUGAGUUGUGUUCAUUUCUGACUUUUUUAUGCUUAAUUUUGUCGGUGGUGAAAAAUGCUGUCCAGGCUAAAGGGGGGCAGAGUAUUUUGAAUGAAAUGAUGGUUACACACACAGGUGGGCCUGGUUAGUUUUGCUCACACUUCUCUUUAAAAUAUUUAUUUAUUAUCCUAAUGCUAUUUUUCUUGUUUUCCUUCUAGGCUGGAAAACAGGCAUUCUUCUGUUGACGAAGAAUGCCUGUUGGUUCACUUGCUUCUUCCUAUGUCCAAAGGCCACAAGAAAAAUGCCAAAACAGCUUAUGUCAAGCUGUGGACCAUGUUGUCAUAUAUGUGCAGCAUUUUGCCAAAGAUGGGAGCCAGUGUUGAAGCCUUUCUCCUUGGUGUGGAACCAGGGCAGCCCUUCCUCCUGCAUGUUGGUGAAAACAAGAGCAGCACCAAAGUCACUUCACAAUCAGUGAUCACAAGACUAUCCCUUACCAUCCAUGAUACCCUGUGAUAGACAGGCGACCUGUCCAGGGUGACCCCG